rnacentral:rRNA from 1 species
GAUGAACGCUGGCGGCGUGCUUAACACAUGCAAGUCGAACGAUGAUCCGGUGCUUGCACCGGGGAUUAGUGGCGAACGGGUGAGUAACACGUGAGUAACCUGCCCUUAACUCUGGGAUAAGCCUGGGAAACUGGGUCUAAUACCGGAUAUGACUCCUCAUCGCAUGGUGGGGGGUGGAAAGCUUUUGUGGUUUUGGAUGGACUCGCGGCCUAUCAGCUUGUUGGUGAGGUAAUGGCUCACCAAGGCGACGACGGGUAGCCGGCCUGAGAGGGUGCCCGGCCACACUGGGACUGAGACACGGCCCAGACUCCUACGGGAGGCAGCAGUGGGGAAUAUUGCACAAUGGGCGGAAGCCUGAUGCAGCGACGCCGCGUGAGGGAUGACGGCCUUCGGGUUGUAAACCUCUUUCAGUAGGGAAGAAGCGAAAGUGACGGUACCUGCAGAAGAAGCGCCGGCUAACUACGUGCCAGCAGCCGCCGUAA